rnacentral:rRNA from 1 species
UACGUAGGGGCAAGCGUUGUCCGGAAUCAUUGGGCGUAAAGAGCGUGUAGGCGGUUCGGUAAGUCUGCCGUGAAACCUGGGCUCAACCCCGGGCGUGCGGUGGAUACUGCCGGGCUAGAGGUGGUAGAGGCGAGUGGAAUUCCCGGUGUAGCGGUGAAUGCGCAGAUAUCGGGAGGAACACCAGUAGCGAAGGCGGCUCGCUGGGCCAUUCCUGACGCUGAGACGCGAAAGCUAGGGGAGCGAACAGG